UGGUUUGUGUUCGUUUGAGUCACAAGUUUAGGUCUUUUUUUUGUGGUUUUCAUUGUUUCAAUCGCGGUCUUGAAUAACAUUCACCAGUGAGUUGUGGUUGUAAUGGUGCAGAAAGUGAUUGAGGGUAACUGCUUUGUCCCCUUAUGUGUCGUUUGACUACUGGUGAUCACUUUUACAAUUAAAAAGAAAACAAUAAAAGAAUUUAUUUGCAUCCGUUAAUAUUAUUUUGAAAUUUAUAAGACUGAAAUGCACCUAUCAAAAAUCGUUUUUUAUAUUUCCAAAGGAAAAG
rnacentral:lncRNA from 1 species